AGCUCUGGGGUGUAAGCAUGUUGGGUUGCAAACCCGAAGACGCAGGUUACCGCCUGCCGGGGCU
rnacentral:tRNA from 1 species